GAUGAACGCUGGCGGCGUGCCUAAUACAUGCAAGUCGAGCGAACGGACGAGAAGCUUGCUUCUCUGAUGUUAGCGGCGGACGGGUGAGUAACACGUGGAUAACCUACCUAUAAGACUGGGAUAACUUCGGGAAACCGUAGCUAAUACCGGAUAAUAUUUUGAACCGCAUGGUUCAAAAGUGAAAGACGGUCUUGCUGUCACUUAUAGAUGGAUCCGCGCUGCAUUAGCUAGUUGGUAAGGUAACGGCUUACCAAGGCAACGAUGCAUAGCCGACCUGAGAGGGUGAUCGGCCACACUGGAACGGAGACACGGUCCAGACUCCUACGGGAGGCAGCAGUAGGGAAUCUUCCGCAAUGGGCGAAAGCCUGACGGAGCAACGCCGCGUGAGUGAUGAAGGUCUUCGGAUCGUAAAACUCUGUUAUUAGGUAAGAACAUAUGUGUAAGUAGCGGUGCACAUCUUGACGGUACCUAAUCAGAAAGCCACGGCUAACUACGUGC
rnacentral:rRNA from 1 species